AAUGACAGUUCAGUGCGCGAGA
rnacentral:miRNA from 1 species